GCACUAGUAGCUCAGCUUUAGAGUGCCGGUCUUGUAAGCCGGAUGCCGGAGGUUAAAAUCCUCCCUACUGCU
rnacentral:tRNA from 1 species